AAUGGGGAAACCCGGCAGUCGUCAUGGGCUGUCACCCGCUGCUGAACACAUAGGCAGUGUGGAGGGAACGAGGGGAAGUGAAACAUCUCAGUACCCUCAGGAAGAGAAAACAACCGUGAUUCCGGGAGUAGUGGCGAGCGAAACUGGAUGAGGCCAAACCGUAUGCGUGUGAUACCCGGCAGGGGUUGCGCAUACGGGGUUGUGGGAUCUCUUUUUCAUAGUCUGCCGGCUGUGAGACGAGUCAGAAACCGUUGAUGUAGGCGAAGGACAUGCGAAAGGUCCGGCGUAGAGGGUAAGACCCCCGUAGCUGAAACAUCAACGGCUCGUUUGAGAGACACCCAAGUAGCACGGGGCCCGAGAAAUCCCGUGUGAAUCUGGCGGGACCACCCGCUAAGCCUAAAUAUUCCCUGGUGACCGAUAGCGGAUAGUACCGUGAGGGAAUGGUGAAAAGUACCGCGGGAGCGGAGUGAAAUAGUACCUGAAACCGUGUGCCUACAAGCCGUGGGAGCGUCGCUGGCAGCACUUGUGCUGUCAGUCGUGACUGCGUGCCUUUUGAAGAAUGAGCCUGCGAGUUAGCGGUGUGUAGCGAGGUUAACCCGUGUGGGGAAGCCGUAGCGAAAGCGAGUCCGAAUAGGGCGUUUGAGUUGCACGCUCUAGACCCGAAGCGGAGUGAUCUAGCCAUGGGCAGGUUGAAGCGGAGGUAAGACUUCGUGGAGGACCGAACCCACCAGGGUUGAAAACCUGGGGGAUGACCUGUGGUUAGGGGUGAAAGGCCAAUCAAACUCCGUGAUAGCUGGUUCUCCCCGAAAUGCAUUUAGGUGCAGCGUCGUGUGUUUCUUGCCGGAGGUAGAGCACUGGAUAGGCGAUGGGCCCUACCGGGUUACUGACCUUAGCCAAACUCCGAAUGCCGGUAAGUGAGAGCGCGGCAGUGAGACUGUGGGGGAUAAGCUCCAUGGUCGAGAGGGAAACAGCCCAGAGCAUCGACUAAGGCCCCUAAGCGUACGCUAAGUGGGAAAGGAUGUGGAGUCGCAGAGACAACCAGGAGGUUGGCUUAGAAGCAGCCACCCUUGAAAGAGUGCGUAAUAGCUCACUGGUCAAGUGAUUCCGCGCCGACAAUGUAGCGGGGCUCAAGCGUACCGCCGAAGUCGUGUCAUUCACACAUUGAGGGCCAACGCCUGUGUGGAUGGGUAGGGGAGCGUCGUGUGCCGGGUGAAGCAGCCGCGGAAGCGAGUUGUGGACGGUUCACGAGUGAGAAUGCAGGCAUGAGUAGCGAUACACACGUGAGAAACGUGUGCGCCGAUUGACUAAGGGUUCCUGGGUCAAGCUGAUCUGCCCAGGGUAAGUCGGGACCUAAGGCGAGGCCGACAGGCGUAGUCGAUGGACAACCGGUUGAUAUUCCGGUACCCGCUUUGAAACGCCCAGUACUGAAUCAGGCGAUGCUAAGUCCGUGAAGCCGGCCCGAUCUCUUCGGAGUUGAGGGUAGUGGUGGAGCCGAUGAACCAGACUUGUAGUAGGUAAGCGAUGGGGUGACGCAGGAAGGUAGUCCAGCCCGGGCGGUGGUUGUCCCGGGGUAAGGGUGUAGCCCGUGUGGUAGGUAAAUCCGUCACACAUGCAGG
rnacentral:rRNA from 1 species